GCCGGCAGCUAGCUCUCUGCAACUCUCACAUUGUUGCACACUGAAGCUAAGAAGGGCUGUGCCCAGGCAGUACCUGGAUAGGAGACCACAUGGAAAAGCGAGGUUAGUGCUGGAA
rnacentral:rRNA from 1 species